AUUGAACGCUGGCGGCAGGCCUAACACAUGCAAGUCGAGCGGAUGAGAAGAGCUUGCUCUUCGAUUCAGCGGCGGACGGGUGAGUAAUGCCUAGGAAUCUGCCUGUUAGUGGGGGAUAACGCGGGGAAACUCGCGCUAAUACCGCAUACGUCCUACGGGAGAAAGCGGGGGCUCUUCGGACCUCGCGCUGAUGGAGCGGCCGAUGUCAGAUUAGGUAGUUGGUGGGGUAAAGGCCUACCAAGCCGACGAUCUGUAGCUGGUCUGAGAGGACGACCAGCCACACUGGGACUGAGACACGGCCCAGACUCCUACGGGAGGCAGCAGUGGGGAAUUUUGGACAAUGGGGGAAACCCUGAUCCAGCCAUGCCGCGUGCGGGAAGAAGGCCUUCGGGUUGUAAACCGCUUUUGUCGGGGAAGAAAUCCCUCAGGCUAAUACCUUGAGGGGAUGACGGUACCCGAAGAAUAAGCACCGGCUAACUUCGUGCCAGCAGCCGCCGUAACAC
rnacentral:rRNA from 1 species